GACGAACGCUGGCGGCGUGCUUAACACAUGCAAGUCGAACGAUGAAGCGGGUGCUUGCACUCGUGGAUUAGUGGCGAACGGGCGAGUAACACGUGAGUAACCUGUCCUUUUCUUUGGGAUAACGGCUGGAAACGGCUGCUAAUACUGGAUAUUCAGGCUGCAUCGCAUGGUGUGGUUUGGAAAGGUUUUUUCUGGGCUUGGGUGGGCUCGCGGCCUAUCAGCUUGUUGGUGGGGUGAUGGCUUACCAAGGCUUUGACGGGUAGCCGGCCUGAGAGGGUGGUCGGUCGCACUGGGACUGAGAUACGGCCCAGACUCCUACGGGAGGCAGCAGUGGGGAAUAUUGCACAAUGGAAGAAAGUUUGAUGCAGCGACGCCGCGUGGAGGGUGUAGGCCUUCGGGUUGUGAACUCCUUUUUCUCGCGAAAAAGGCACAGUUUUGGCUGUGUUGAUGGUAGUGGGGGAAGAAGCGCCGGCUAACUACGUG
rnacentral:rRNA from 1 species